GACGAACGCUGGCGGCGUGCUUAACACAUGCAAGUCGAACGAAGUGGCGAACGGGUGAGUAACGCGUAAUCAACCUGCCCUUCAGCGGGGGACAACAGUUGGAAACGACUGCUAAUACCGCAUACUGAAGGAGGGGAUUGCGUCUGAUUAGCUAGUUGGAGGGGUAACGGCCCACCAAGGCGAUGAUCAGGAGCCGGGCUGAGCGGAGGAACGGCAACAUUGGGAAUGUGAAACGGCCCCGACUCCUAAGGGAGGCAGCAGUGGGGAAUCUUCCGAAAUGGACGAAAGUCUGAAGGAGCAACGCCGCGUGGGUGAUGACGGCCUUCGGGUUGUAAAGAUCUGUUAAUCGGGACACGGUACCGGAAUAGAAAGCCACGGCUAACUACGUGCCAGCAGCCGCGGUAAUAC
rnacentral:rRNA from 1 species